rnacentral:lncRNA from 1 species
CUCUUUCGCGUUUCUUUUUUUUCUUCCCUUUCUAUUUUUCUUCUUUCUUUUCUUUUACUUUCUUUUGAGUUUCCUUUCUUUUCUGUUACUUUUGAUUUUGGGCAUCCUAUCUUCUUUUGUGUUUGUUUGUAUUCCUCACAAUUCGGUCGUAGUUCAAAGCGUAGUGUAAGUUUUGUCAAUAUAAUUUUUUGUUAUUUUAGAAAUAAUUUGUUUUUGAAAAAUAUUAGAGUUGUUGGUUUUUAGUUUCCUUUCCAUGUUAUGUUAGGUGUUUUUGUGAUUUU